AGCGAACGCUAGCGGCGGGCCUAACACAUGCAAGUCGAGCGGACGUAGCAAUACGUUAGCGGCGGACGGGUGAGGAAUGCAUCGGAACGUGCCGUGUAGUGGGGGAUAACACAGCGAAAGUUGUGCUAAUACCGCAUACGCCCUGAGGGGGAAAGUGGGGGACCGCAAGGCCUCACGCUAUAUGAGCGGCCGAUGCCCGAUUAGCUAGUUGGUGAGGUAACGGCUCACCAAGGCGACGAGCGGUAGCUGGUCUGAGAGGAUGAUCAGCCACACUGGAACUGAGACACGGUCCAGACUCCUACGGGAGGCAGCAGUGGGGAAUAUUGGACAAUGGGGGCAACCCUGAUCCAGCCAUGCCGCGUGAGUGAAGAAGGCCUUCGGGUUGUAAAGCUCUUUAAGCGGGGAGGAAGGUCGUACGGUUAAUACCUGUGCGAAUUGACGUUACCUGCAGAAUAAGCACCGGCUAACUCUGUGCCAGCCGCCGCUGUAACAC
rnacentral:rRNA from 1 species